CCUACGGGGGGCAGCAGUGAGGAAUAUUGGUCAAUGGGCGCGAGCCUGAACCAGCCAAGUAGCGUGAAGGAUGACUGCCCUACGGGUUGUAAACUUCUUUUAUAAAGGGAUAAAGUGAGGCACGUGUGGCUUUUUGUAGGUACUGUAUGAAUAAGGAUCGGCUAACUCCGUGCCAGCAGCCGCGGUAAUACGGAGGAUCCGAGCGUUAUCCGGAUUUAUUGGGUUUAAAGGGAGCGUAGUCGGGUCGUUAAGUCAGUUGUGAAAGGCUGCGGCUCAACCGUAGCAUUGCAAUUGAUACUGGCAGCCUUGAGUACAGGUGAGGUAGGCGGAAUUCGUGGUGUAGCGGUGAAAUGCUUAGAUAUCACGAAGAACUCCGAUUGCGAAGGCAGCCUACUAAACUGCCACUGACAUUGAGGCUCGAAAGUGUGGGUAUCAAACAGGAUUAGAUACCCGAGUAGUC
rnacentral:rRNA from 1 species